UAGGGAAUCUUCCGCAAUGGACGAAAGUCUGACGGAGCAACGCCGCGUGAGUGAAGAAGGAUUUCGGUUCGUAAAACUCUGUUGUUAGGGAAGAAAAAAUGUAUAGUAACUAUAUACAAAAGAGACGGUACCUAACCAGAAAGCCACGGCUAACUACGUGCCAGUAGCCGCGGUAAUACGUAGGUGGCAAGCGUUGUCCGGAAUUAUUGGGCGUAAAGCGCGCGCAGGUGGUUUAGAAAGUCUGAUGUGAAAGCCCACGGCUCAAACGUGGAGGGUCUUUUGAAACUAAUACACUUUGGUGCAGGAGAGGAAAGUGGAAGUCCUGGGGUAGCGGUGAAAUGCAUAGAGAUUAAGGGGAACACCGGUGGCGAAAGCGGCUUUUUGGCCUGCAACUGACACUGAGGCGGGAAAGCGUGGGGGGCAAACAGG
rnacentral:rRNA from 1 species